AAAGCUGCCAAAUGCCAGGACCUUGCUCCUUUUCCUGCAGAAGGAGGAUCGGCCUUCAGAAGUUUAGGAAAUCCUGCCGCAAAUGAAGAGAAAUGGUUGUACUGAGAUUCCAGAUGAAACCUCAAAUCUGUAUACUGGCACAAACUAAACUGAGAAAAAUGGACCAAAAAGAUGUUCCUAGUGUUUCCCUUCUCCUUCUCAGAUGCAAAGAAAGGUGCUCAAAGAGGACACAAUGGUUUAGUGAAUUGGAUCCAAGAGACAUUUCACCAUGCUUAAGGCAGAUGUUAUCAACACGGAUCAUUUGUAUUGGCAGUCCUUCAAAAGUUACUCUCUAACCAAGCUCAAAUCAGGAAGAGCACAAGCAGUCUCAAUUCUGACCGUAAGGAAAAGCUGUUGCGUGUUCAAGACCCAGUUACAGUCUUAGCAGCCUUCACGUCUGCUCUCAGAUCUGACUCCCCCUGCACGGCCACAGCACUCUCAUUCCACUCGUAUCUUUCCCUACUUGGCAUUCAGACGGUCUCUUCUGCUUACAUUAAAAGCCCAGCACUUGCAUUCUGAGAUGUCUUCAAAAUCUUGUCAGUCUUAAAAUGACAUCUAAUUACUGCUGAUUCACAGUAGUACAUACAGCCUGUGAAUUCCAGGCAGGGCAGAAGGUGAGAAUAGCUUCACUGCAAGUUUUGGAAUUGGAGAUGCAUGAAGGGAAAACUUGCAAGAACCCCAAGAACAGAGGAAAGUAUGAUGACAGAAUUACUGUGUUGCCUGACCAACAAAGCCAAGAGCUAUCUGAGAGAAAUCUCAACUAUUUACUGCGUGUUCAGUGUAGAGUCAGAAAUUCAGCCAGAAAUAAAAAAAGAGCUCCUUCUACUUCAGAAGCAGUCUUUGCACUAAGAAUAUAUUUGUUAAUUGUGUUUGAAAUAUUCAAGCCUGUAGAAACAUGAAAAUGAGUGAAAUGGUUUACAUCAGCCACACCUCUA